GCUGGAGUAAUGCGGAUUGUAAUUCACAAAGGCAAAGCCGCGGGCCUGGUCAAUGAUGUGAAACAGCGGGUUCCACGUAAACAUGACCAGCAUGUGAAAUGGCAGCGUAUUGGCCAAGAACAUCUUGCCGGAUGCCAGCAUAUUGGCGCGCG
rnacentral:ncRNA from 1 species